GAUGAACGCUGGCGGCGUGCCUAAUACAUGCGAGUCGAGCGAACAGAUGAGGAGCUUGCUCCUCUGACGUUAGCGGCGGACGGGUGAGUAACACGUGGAUAACCUACCUAUAAGACUGGGAUAACUUCGGGAAACCGGAGCUAAUACCGGAUAAUAUAUUGAACCGCAUGGUUCAAUAGUGAAAGACGGUUUUGCUGUCACUUAUAGAUGGAUCCGCGCCGCAUUAGCUAGUUGGUAAGGUAACGGCUUACCAAGGCAACGAUGCGUAGCCGACCUGAGAGGGUGAUCGGCCACACUGGAACUGAGACACGGUCCAGACUCCUACGGGAGGCAGCAGUAGGAAAUCUUCCGCAAUGGGCGAAAGCCUGACGGAGCAACGCCGCGUGAGUGAUGAAGGUCUUCGGAUCGUAAAACUCUGUUAUUAGGGAAGAACAAAUGUGUAAGUAACUAUGCACGUCUGGACGGUACCUAAGCAGAAAGCCACGGCUAACUACGG
rnacentral:rRNA from 1 species